rnacentral:rRNA from 1 species
AGUAGCAAUACUUUUGGUGGCGACCGGCGCACGGGUGAGUAACGCGUAUGCAACCUAUUCUAUCAGAGGGGAAUAACCCGGCGAAAGUCGGACUAAUACCGCAUAAAACAGGGACACCGCAUGGUGAUAUUUGUUAAAGAAAUUCGCUGAUAGAUGGGCAUGCGUUCCAUUAGGUAGUUGGUGAGGUAACGGCUCACCAAGCCGACGAUGGAUAGGGGAACUGAGAGGUUGGUCCCCCACACUGGUACUGAGACACGGACCAGACUCCUACGGGAGGCAGCAGUGAGGAAUAUUGGUCAAUGGGCGAGAGCCUGAACCAGCCAAGUCGCGUGAAGGAAGAAGGAUCUAUGGUUCGUAAACUUCUUUUGCAGGGGAAUAAAGUGCAGGACGUGUCCUGUUUUGUAUGUACCCUGAGAAUAAGGAUCGGCUAACUCCGUGCCAGCAGCCGCGGUAAUACGGAGGAUCCGAGCGUUAUCCGGAUUUAUUGGGUUUAAAGGGUGCGUAGGUGGUUUGAUAAGUCAGCGGUGUAAGUUUGCAGCUUAACUGUAAAAAUGCCGUUGAAACUGUCGGACUUGAGUGUAAAUGAGGUAGGCGGAAUGCGUGGUGUAGCGGUGAAAUGCUUAGAUAUCACGAAGAACUCCGAUUG